rnacentral:rRNA from 1 species
GCCUAACACAUGCAAGUCGAGCGGUAACAUGACGUGCUUGCACAUCGAUGACGAGUGGCGGACGGGUGAGUAAUGCUUGGGAACUUGCCUUUGCGAGGGGGAUAACAGUUGGAAACGACUGCUAAUACCGCAUAAUGUCUUCGGACCAAACGGGGCUUCGGCUCCGGCGCAAAGAGAGGCCCAAGUGAGAUUAGCUAGUUGGUAAGGUAACGGCUUACCAAGGCGACGAUCUCUAGCUGUUCUGAGAGGAAGAUCAGCCACACUGGGACUGAGACACGGCCCAGACUCCUACGGGAGGCAGCAGUGGGGAAUAUUGCACAAUGGGGGAAACCCUGAUGCAGCCAUGCCGCGUGUGUGAAGAAGGCCUUCGGGUUGUAAAGCACUUUCAGUUGUGAGGAAAAGUUAGUAGUUAAUACCUGCUAGCCGUGACGUUAACAACAGAAGAAGCACCGGCUAACUCCGUGCCAGCAGCCGCGGUAAUACGGAGGGUGCGAGCGUUAAUCGGAAUUACUGGGCGUAAAGCGCACGCAGGCGGUUUGUUAAGCUAGAUGUGAAAGCCCCGGGCUCAACCUGGGAUGGUCAUUUAGAACUGGCAGACUAGAGUCUUGGAGAGGGGAGUGGAAUUCCAGGUGUAGCGGUGAAAUGCGUAGAUAUCUGGAGGAACAUCAGUGGCGAAGGCGACUCCCUGGCCAAAGACUGACGCUCAUGUGCGAAAGUGUGGGUAGCGAACAGGAUUAGAUACCCUGGUAGUCCACACCGUAAACGCUGUCUACUAGCUGUGUGUGCCUUUAAGGCGUGCGUAGCGAAGCUAACGCGCUAAGUAGACCGCCUGGGGAGUACGGCCGCAAGGUUAAAACUCAAAUGAAUUGACGGGGGCCCGCACAAGCGGUGGAGCAUGUGGUUUAAUUCGAUGCAACGCGAAGAACCUUACCUACACUUGACAUGCUGAGAAGUUACUAGAGAUAGUUUCGUGCCUUCGGGAACUCAGACACAGGUGCUGCAUGGCUGUC